CUAUACUAUACUGCACUGUAGGUAUACAUACUGUCCGUAGUACAAUGGCGAGUAUGUCUUUCGGAGGAAGACUUACCUAUGCUUGACUGAAUCACGAUAUACACUAGUACUAGUAUGCAAUGUAUAAAUCCGAUGUUUUACUUUGAAAGAAAUUGAAGUCAGGAGAUUCAAAAAAAGUGUCAACCAUAUGUCCUAGGAGCGACGAUCUAACAGCGACAGCGAAAGGGUGGAUGGCUUAGUAAAUACUUUUCAGCCUCGACAAACGAAAUGAAACCGAUAGUACAUUUCCACAAGGAAAAUAUAAAUACGUAAACUUUGUGCGGGACUCGAGUAUAAUUACAUAUUCAAACUUUCUCCCGAACCCGAGGGCUCCGGCUUAAACGUCUGUAAGGGGCGUAAUAACGGCAUGUUCCAUUGUCAUAUAAAGUUACGCUAAUUCUAUGUAGAUUUUACUACCGUGAUUUAAUAAAAACUUUGUAAAGAUAA